CCACUUCAGAAGUCUUCAAGUGAAGCAAUGGGAGUGGAGAAGGAAUAAAGAAAUCUGUAACUGGCUGUGAUCAAUUAAUUGUAAACACC